GACGUAGGGCGCGAGCGUUGUCCGGAUUUAUUGGGCGUAAAGAGCUCGUAGGCGGCUUGUCGCGUCGAAUGUGAAAUCUCAGGGCUCAACUCUGACAUUGCAUUCGAUACGGGCAGGCUCGAGUUCGGUAGGGGAGACUGGAAUUCCUGGUGUAGCGGUGAAAUGCGCAGAUAUCAGGAGGAACACCGGUGGCGAAGGCGGGUCUCUGGGCCGAUACUGGCGCUGAGGAGCGAAAGCGUGGGGAGCGAACAGG
rnacentral:rRNA from 1 species